rnacentral:misc_RNA from 1 species
GAAAUGCGAUAAUUAAUGUGAAUUACAGAAUUCAGUGAAUCAUCGAGUCUUUGAACGCACAUUGCGCCUCCUGGUAUUCCGGGGGGCAUGCCUGUCCGAGCGUCAUUGCUGCCCUCAAGCACGGCUUGUGUGUUGGGCUUCCGUCCCUGGCAACGGGGACGGGCCCAAAAGGCAGUGGCGGCACCAUGUCUGGUCCUCGAGCGUAUGGGGCUUUGUCACCCGCUCCCGUAGGUCCAGCUGGCAGCUAGCCUCGCAACCAAUCUUUUUAACCAGGUUGACCUCGGAUCAGGUAGGGAUACCCGCUGAACUUAAGC